ACCUUCUUAUGUCAGCCCCUUCGGGACGCGCUACAUAAACUUCGAAUGACGCACAAACAGGUGCCUGCCGUCCAACUCCUGAUAACAGCUCUGCUUUAUCAGCCAUCGGGCGAAACGUCGAGUUAGGCACCGCCU
rnacentral:sRNA from 1 species